CAGCCACACCACGUUGAAACACAAGUUCCCUUGCGAUCACCGAAGUUAAGCAACGUUGAGUCUAGUCAGUACCUAGAUGGGUGACCGCUUUUACCAGGUGCUGUAA